CUUGACAUCCCGAUGCUAUUUCUAGAGAUAGAAAGUUACUUCGGUGCAUCGGUGACAGGUGGUGCAUGGUUGUCGUCAGCUCGUGUCGUGAGAUGUUGGGUUAAGUCCCGCAACGAGCGCAACCCCUAUUGUUAGUUGCCAUCAUUCAGUUGGGCACUCUAGCGAGACUGCCGGUAAUAAACCGGAGGAAGGUGGGGAUGACGUCAAAUCAUCAUGCCCCUUAUGACCUGGGCUACACACGUGCUACAAUGGUUGGUACAACGAGUUGCGAGUCGGUGACGGCGAGCUAAUCUCUUAAAGCCAAUCUCAGUUCGGAUAGUAGUCUGCAACUCGACUACUUGAAGUCGGAAUCGCUAGUAAUGGCGGAUCAGCAUGCCGCCGUGAAUACGUUCCCGGGUCUU
rnacentral:rRNA from 1 species